UGACAAUAGGAAAGUGUUCAGGACAAAGGAGCUCAAGCUUUCUGCUUUUUUAGUAAAAUAGUCAACCCAGUCUCACAGAAAUGUGGUAUUUGCAGCAUCUUCCAUUCCAUAAUUGGAGACUUUUGUGCAGCUGGUUCCUGUUCAGCUGAUGGAAAUCACUUUGGGAGACAAAAGCCACAGGAAGUCAUCAGAGGAAUAUAUAUUGCUGCUAUGAACAGUGCUUCAGGGCCCCAAUUUCAUCCUGACCUUGGCCCAAUGACUGUGAGAAGUUCUGUGUGUUUUGUGUCGGCUUCGUCAUGGUUCUCCUGUUUGUUUGUUUUUACCCCAAAAACAUGCAUGUAUGUGUUGAUGCAAAGUUGCUUCUUAGUGUUUAUAACUGUGUAAAUUUGAGUGCAUGAUACCUCUGAUAGACUGCUUCCCCAUUAGGGGAUAAUUAUAGUAUCAUGCCCAGUGUUUCAAAGAUAAACUCUGGAACUGCCAAAACCAUGACCAAGAUAAAAUGAUUACUGAAGCUUAAUAAAUGAAUAAAAGAGAAAGUAGAGAAAAAAUUAUAAAUAGGGUCACUUCACUGUUGAUGUUAAUUAUGUUUGUAAUCAUUGCUAAUUAGUCACAUGGAAAUGUUUAGUAAGGAAACCAAUUAAGCAUAUGUUUUAUAUGAUAUGAACAUUUGCAUGUUUUUAUCUUGAUGUUCUUUUGUUCUUGAUGUACUUUAAUAUGAGAACUGUUAUACAACAGCUAGAUUUUUUUUUGUGAA